UGCUAGUGUAACGUAAAUCACAUCAGAGACCAGGACACACACACACCGCGGGCAGGAUGGUGUCCCGGUCGGCAUACUUCGAACCCGAUGGACCGAUGAGGGAAACACAUGGCGACCUUGGCGACAAUGUAUAUUGCCGGAGUACCUGAGGAUUCAUUUAUGGCCUAACGGUCCUUCCACCAAAUGUUCUAGAAGCGUAGCAACGGUCACGUACGCCUACAGGGUAGUGGGGAUAUUGAGGGAUAACAAACAAAGAAGAAAUAAGUCCCACCGAAAGCCAAAUUGUAAGAGCUUCAGUCUUGGAAAGUCAUGGCUGGAGCUCAGAAUAAAAUCGCAGUCAGUGUAAAUUCAGAAUACAAGAAAUAAAUUCUCUUGUUUUUUUGUUACCUUAAUUUCUUUCUUUUCGUUCGAGCUACUCCUUUUUUAUUUUUACGUGACAAUGUAGUUGCUAUGUUAAUAAAGAAAAUUUUGUAGAUGUUAGAAAAUGCAAUGAAACCAUGUUCAUACAUACAUUUAACCUACAUGUAUAUAUAACAUGUCGAAAUUAAUACAAAAUAUUAUUAAAAAUGUAAAUAUUCGAAAUAAGUUUAUUCUUUUAAAUCCCUGCUGUCUUUUAGCUAUAUGUAUCAACAAAUCCUUCUUUUUUCAAUUUUAUGAACAUGUUUUGUAUUAACAAUAAUAUUAAGGCAUAGUUAUAUUUAUCAUCGACAAAUUACAUAGUCUAUCUCUCAUUGUUCUAAUCGUUUUAUAAGUUCAAGCUCACCUUUAAAAAAGAAAUAUACUAUUAGUAUAAUUCUACAAAAAAUAGCUCUGUAAUCGACAUUAAGAAAAAAAGAGUAUGUCAGUCAAAAUAUUAAUUUCCACUAAACAAAAAACGGUAUGUGACGGCAACUAUUUCUAUGACACGAUUAAACAUGUCAAAUGAAUUUUCAACGAUGUAACCACAAAUUUUUAUACAAAAAUCCCGUAAAAAUUUGAAAUGCUGUAAAAAUAAAAAUUUUAUGUACAUAUACAGAUGCAGAAAAUCUGAGAACUGUGUUUAAUGCCUCCUUAAACAAUUUGUAUUCAAUAUAUAGUAAGUCGUUUAUUUAUUUAUUUACAAAAUUUACGCUGUAGCUUACAUGCAUGUAUACUGCACAUUAUUUAGGUCUACAAGUUUAGAUAUGUACUUGAAUUAUGAAAAUAAAUGAGUCAAUAAUAAAAAUUACAGUUAUCAAAUAUCAAAGUGGGAAAGUAUCAAAUACAGAUUCAAUA
rnacentral:misc_RNA from 1 species